AUUGAACGCUGGCGGCAGGCCUAACACAUGCAAGUCGAGCGGAGCGGCGGACGGGUGAGGAAUGCCUAGGAAUCUGCCUGGUAGUGGGGGAUAACGUCCGGAAACGGGCGCUAAUACCGCAUACUAACAGAUGAGCCUUGGUCGGAUUAGCUAGUUGGUGGGGUAAAGGCCUACAAAGGCGACGAUCCGGAACUGGUCUGAGAGGAUGAUCAGUCACACUUGAACCUGGCCCCGGUCCAGACUCCUACGGGAGGCAGCAUUGUGGAAUAUUGGAAAAUGGGCGAAAGCCUGAUCCAGCCAUGCCGCUUGUGUGAAGAAGGUCUUCGGAUUGUAAAGCACUUUAAGUUGGUAUGCGUUACCAACAGUAUAGGCACCGGCUAUCUUCGUGCCAGCAGCCGCGGUAAUAC
rnacentral:rRNA from 1 species